AACGUAGGAGGCAAGCGUUAUCCGGAUUUACUGGGCGUAAAGGGCGUGCAGGUGGUGGUCUAAGUGGUGCGUGAAAGCGCUCGGCUCAACCGGGCGAGGGCGUGCCAAACUGGGUCACUAGAAACAGGCAGAGGAAAGUGGAAUUCGGGGUGUAGUGGUGAAAUGCGUAGAGAUCCCGAGGAACUCCUGUGGCGAAGGCGGCACUCUGGGCCGGAACUGACGCUGAGGAGCGAAGGCGUGGGGGAGCGAACAGG
rnacentral:rRNA from 1 species